AGGAACCAUAAGGUUUUACUUUCGAAAAAGUCGAUGUUGUUUUACGAAUUGAACUUUGCUGGAAAGUAGAUAAGUAAAUAUUUAUUUACAAUUUUCAUGAAAUUGUGUUAAAAUGCAGAUGCAGGAUAAAUGCU
ensembl:ncRNA B0496.15 ncRNA